AUUGAACGCUGGCGGCAGGCUUAACACAUGCAAGUCGAGCGGAGUGAUGGUGCUUGCACUAUCACUUAGCGGCGGACGGGUGAGUAAUGCCUAGGAAUCUGCCUAUUAGUGGGGGACAACAUCUCGAAAGGGAUGCUAAUACCGCAUACGUCCUACGGGAGAAAGCAGGGGAUCACUUGUGACCUUGCGCUAAUAGAUGAGCCUAAGUCGGAUUAGCUAGUUGGUGGGGUAAAGGCCUACCAAGGCGACGAUCUGUAGCGGGUCUGAGAGGAGGAUCCGCCACACUGGGACUGAGACACGGCCCAGACUCCUACGGGAGGCAGCAGUGGGGAAUAUUGGACAAUGGGGGGAACCCUGAUCUAGCCAUGCCGCGUGUGUGAAGAAGGCCUUAUGGUUGUAAAGCACUUUAAGCGAGGAGGAGGCUCUUUUGGUUAAUACCCAAGAUGAGUGGACGUUACUCGCAGAAUAAGCACCGGCUAACUCUGUGCCAGCAGCCGCGGUAA
rnacentral:rRNA from 1 species